UACGGGGGGGGCAAGCGUUGUUCGGAAUUACUGGGCGUAAAGGGCUCGUAGGUGGCCAACUAAGUCAGACGUGAAAUCCCUCGGCUUAACCGGGGAACUGCGUCUGAUACUGGAUGGCUUGAGUUCGGGAGAGGGAUGCGGAAUUCCAGGUGCAGCGGUGAAAUGCGUAGAUAUCUGGAGGAACGCCGGUGGCGAAGGCGGCAUCCUGGACCGAUACUGACACUGAGGAGCGAAAGCCAGGGGAGCAAACGGG
rnacentral:rRNA from 1 species